UAGAUGUCGCUGUAGAUUUAGCAGCACUGUACUGUAAAAAUCCACAGUACUAUACUGUAUGUGUACAUUACAGUAAAGUACUGCAGUUCAUAGUGCAUUCUGGGUAAAUUUGUUUGAGCGGGAAAAUUUUACAGUAUAUUUUGGUCUUGAUGUAACCUUGCUGUAGCCAUUGCUGUAAUGUGCCAGGUGUACUUGCAAUAAUCAGAGAAAGUGCGCCAGAGUCAAAUCACACAGAGGGAGAGAGAGCACAACUCCUGGCUGCAGCUGAAGAAGGAGGACGAUUGAUUUCUGGCAGUUCGCUCUAACGUUACAGUUUGCUCCACUUUGCUCUGUGGUUUAUAUGUUUUCUUCUUACCAUUGCUUGUAAGCUGGAUUGAGUAAGAUGGAUCAUCUUUAAAGGAACCAGG